UUAGAUGAGUACACGUGAGUUGUCGUCAUAUGAAUUGCUUUAGCCAAUCACGUGGGAGCAGAAAUGAUGCAGGUCUCUUCAUACAUACUGCAUUAGCUGCUGGUGCAACAGUCUCCAGAGAAAUAAAUCAACAUUACUUUGCCCCUCCGAGGAUGGACUUGCCUCAAAUCCGAGGGAAUAUACAGCAGCAGUUCACGCGUGUUCCAUGGUAAGGGAGUACCUGAGGACCAACUUCAAAAUACCCAAAUGGGUUCC
rnacentral:lncRNA from 1 species